UACGUAGGGUGCGAGCGUUGUCCGGAAUUACUGGGCGUAAAGAGCGCGCAGGCGGUCGAAUAAGUCGAAUGUGAAAGCCCCCGGCUCAACUGGGGAGGGUCAUUCGAUACUGCUCGACUUGAAGGCAGGAGAGGGUAGUGGAAUUCCCGGUGUAGUGGUGAAAUGCGUAGAUAUCGGGAGGAACACCAGUGGCGAAGGCGACUACCUGGCCUGUUCUUGACGCUGAGGCGCGAAAGCUGGGGGAGCAAACGGGG
rnacentral:rRNA from 1 species